rnacentral:rRNA from 1 species
UCGGGAAUUUUGUGCAAUGGGCGAAAGCCUGACACAGCAACGCCGCGUGAAGGAUGAAGUCCCUCGGGAUGUAAACUUCGUAAGAAUAGGAAGAAUAAAUGACGGUACUAUUUGUAAGGUCCGGCUAACUACGUGCCAGCAGCCGCGGUAAUACGUAGGGACCAAGCGUUGUUCGGAUUUACUGGGCGUAAAGGGUGCGUAGGCGGCAUAUCAAGUCACUUGUGAAAUCUCCGGGCUUAACUCGGAACUGCCAAGUGAUACUGAUGUGCUAGAGUGCAGAAAGGGCAACUGGAAUUCUUGGUGUAGCGGUGAAAUGCGUAGAUAUCGGAAGGAACAUCGGUGGCGAAGGCGUCUACCUGGCCUAAUACUGACACUGAGGCACGAAAGCGUGGGGAGCAAACAGGAUUAGAUACCCCCGUAGUCCCUGAGCGGGCUGGCAAGGCGCAU